rnacentral:rRNA from 2 species
ACUCCUACGGGAGGCAGCAGUAGGGAAUCUUCCACAAUGGACGAAAGUCUGAUGGAGCAACGCCGCGUGAGUGAAGAAGGGUUUCGGCUCGUAAAGCUCUGUUGGUAGUGAAGAAAGAUAGAGGUAGUAACUGGCCUUUAUUUGACGGUAAUUACUUAGAAAGCCCCGGCUAACUACGUGCCAGCAGCCGCGGUAAUACGUAGGUGGCAAGCGUUAUCCGGAUUUAUUGGGCGUAAAGCGCGCGCAGGUGGUUUCUUAAGUCUGAUGUGAAAGCCCACGGCUCAACCGUGGAGGGUCAUUGGAAACUGGGAGACUUGAGUGCAGAAGAGGAAAGUGGAAUUCCAUGUGUAGCGGUGAAAUGCGUAGAUAUAUGGAGGAACACCAGUGGCGAAGGCGGCUUUCUGGACUGUAACUGACGCUGAGGCUCGAAAGCGUGGGGAGCAAACAGGAUUAGAAACCCUGGUAGUCCACGCCGUAAACGAUGAGUGCUAAGUGUUAGAGGGUUUCCGCCCUUUAGUGCUGAAGUUAACGCAUUAAGCACUCCGCCUGGGGAGUACGGCCGCAAGGCUGAAACUUAAAGGAAUUGACGG